GUCCUGUUCGAUUAGUUGGUUAAAUCAUCUCGUUGUGGACUAGACGCUCCGAGAAGCCGGAAGUUCGAAUCCUCCACAGGACA
rfam:Termitomyces sp. J132 unplaced genomic scaffold scaffold1, whole genome shotgun sequence.